rnacentral:rRNA from 1 species
AUUAAAUCAGUUAUCGUUUAUUUGAUAGUACCUUACUACUUGGAUAACCGUGGUAAUUCUAGAGCUAAUACAUGCUAAAAACCUCGACUUCGGAAGGGGUGUAUUUAUUAGAUAAAAAACCAAUGCCCUUCGGGGCUCCUUGGUGAUUCAUGAUAACUUAACGAAUCGCAUGGCCUUGCGCCGGCGAUGGUUCAUUCAAAUUUCUGCCCUAUCAACUUUCGAUGGUAGGAUAGUGGCCUACCAUGGUAGCAACGGGUAACGGGGAAUUAGGGUUCUAUUCCGGAGAGGGAGCCUGAGAAACGGCUACCACAUCCAAGGAAGGCAGCAGGCGCGCAAAUUACCCAAUCCCGACACGGGGAGGUAGUGACAAUAAAUACUGAUACAGGGCUCUUUCGAGUCUUGUAAUUGGAAUGAGUACAAUUUAAAUACCUUAACGAGGAACAAUUGGAGGGCAAGUCUGGUGCCAGCAGCCGCGGUAAUUCCAGCUCCAAUAGCGUAUAUUAAAGUUGUUGCAGUUAAAAAGCUCGUAGUUGAACCUUGGGCCUGGCUGGCCGGUCCGCCUCACCGCGUGUACUGGUCCGGCCGGGCCUUUCCUUCUGGGGAUCCGCAUGCCCUUCACUGGGUGUGUCGGGGAACCAGGACUUUUACUUUGAAAAAAUUAGAGUGUUCAAAGCAGGCCUUUGCUCGAAUACAUUAGCAUGGAAUAAUAGAAUAGGACGUGCGGUCCUAUUUUGUUGGUUUCUAGGACCGCCGUAAUGAUUAAUAGGGAUAGUCGGGGGCAUCAGUAUUCAAUUGUCAGAGGUGAAAUUCUUGGAUUUAUUGAAGACUAACUACUGCGAAAGCAUUUGCCAAGGAUGUUUUCAUUAAUCAGUGAACGAAAGUUAGGGGAUCGAAGACGAUCAGAUACCGUCGUAGUCUUAACCGUAAACUAUGCCGACUAGGGAUCGGGCGAUGUUAUUAUUUUGACUCGCUCGGCACCUUACGAGAAAUCAAAG